AUCACCUUCUUUAUUGUAAAGGGCUCUCUGCGGUGAAAGUGCAGUUUUUUAUCAUGGGCUCUUAACGGACAUUGUGGCCGUUCAUCUGCGCAAACUCUGGAGUGUGAAAGAGGGGGUGUGGCCGGAGCGGAGCGGCAGGUGUGGGUGAUUCAGGUGAUGAGCUGGAGCCGCUGCCGCUCAACCCGCCAGUUCAACCGGCCGCCAUGAGGACGCGGAGCUGAACCCCAGGUUUAUUGCCAGGGCCCAGGACCAGUUGUUGCUGUAGCGCUCUCUUUGGAGGAAAGUAGCAUCAGGUUGUCUCCAUAGAGCAGGACUGUGUUGAUGCCUCUACAAACUGUUGGAAUAACCUUCCCAUCCAUGCACAGGGGAAUUCAUCCCAAACCAGAUGUGGCAGGUGGGAUUCCUGAGCAGUCCUGUACUUCCCCCAAAAACAUGCAGGUAUUUGCCAUGAUGGAAUUCCCCUGAUGUCAGGUUUGUAGUUGGUUAUACAUCUGCUGCUUUAAAUAACAAAUGUUUUGCUGUAUUAACUGAAACAAAACUGUUAUGUUUUGUUCUUGUGCAAUUACUUAGGUAACAGAGUAUGUUGGUGUAUGAACAUUUUUUUUUACCCCAAUUUUAACAAAAAAAAAAAUCAUUUUCCAAUUGCUGUAUUGACAUGAAAAGGAAUAAUUAAUUCAAGAGAAUGUUUAAUGAAACUGCCUGAGAAAUCCCCUGCCAUAUUCUCUCAACUAUCUACUCUUUACCUCAUUCAAUCUUAGUUAAUAUUUUUCUUUCUUUAACGCUUAGCUAACCUCUCUUUUUUACUCGCUCACUCUUGGCUGACCUUUCUUCCUUGCAUACUUUUAGCUGACCUCUCUCUCUAAGAGUAAGUCAGUUAGAGUGAGAGACAUUAGCUAAGAGUAUGCGAGAUUAGAGAAAGAGACAAUAACUAAGAGUGAGUGAAAGAGAGAUGUUGGCUAAGAGUGAGUGAAUAUUUCUCUUAACUCACUCCCCUUUAGCUAAUGACUUUCUCCAAAUUGAUCACUCUUAUGUAAACACUCUCACUCUUAGCUAACCCCAUCUGUCUCUUUAACUCCCUCCCUCUUAGCGAACCUCCCCAUCCCUCUCUUGCUCACUCUUAGUCAAGGUCUCUACUACAGUCUGACUGGCUGCAAACACUGCUCAAUUUAAUAACUGAAAACAACUACUGUUUAAUUUAAUAAUGAAAUCUAUGUAAAACAAAUAAUUAGCAUCAACUGAUGAACUGUGAUUCAUGCUGGUUAGUGUCCGUCACAAUGGCGUUGUAGCGGCAGGCGGUGUGGCAGCAGCUCAAUCUGCCUGCCGCUAUCCUCCAUAGCCCACCUUUCCAUCUUGGCCACACCCCCAUCUCUUUUGUUGCAAGAUUCAUCCUAAAAAAUUGGAAGUGUAUGUCAUGUUCUCUUCAUGUUAACCCCAAAGCCCAAUUUGACUGCAUACCUGAGCCUGACUUGACCUGCCCCAUAGACUGGGGGCUGGAGGGGCACUGGUGAUGGCGCUCUCUCAAACCGUCCCUUUCUCAGCCAUUUCUGGCAUUGUACAGUCUGCAUGGUGAAGUCUGUCUGAAAAGCAUAUGCAGGGACAAAGGAACACUGACAGAGUUUGGCAUGAGCCUCCAGGACCUCCAUAAAAUUCUGGAGGCCUUUAUGGAUUUGCUUCAACAUUGGCAUCAAGUGCAAAGUUGCAUGCUGCACCGUACAGUACAGAAUACAAAAUAUUUUACUUGUUAUCCGCCUUUUAUUCUGUUCAACUCCCAGGACUACUAGAGAGCAGGUUUAAUUUGGGUGGUGGGUCAUUCUCAGCACUGCAGCAACACUGGCGUCAGCACAACCCGCACUACUAACACCACCACCAGGCCAGUGUCAUUUUAGUGCUGAGAAUGACCCACCAACCCUAUAAUAGCUGGUCUGGGGUGGUCCUGUGGGGUCCUUACUAGGGAUGGGAAUCACAGGGCAACUCAAUUUAAUAUUGCGGCAUUGUCCACAAGAACAUCACAAUACUGUGAUUCUGCAAUACAAGAUAUUUCACAGCAUCUGUUACUGAAGAGGAUAAAAUACUUAAAAGCAAAUACCAGCAAUUAGUGUCAGUUUUACAGAAUGGAACAACCAAUAUUAUUUUUUACAGGUUUACCUUAUUAAUUUCAUUAGUGCCAGCACAUGAAGUAAUGUAACUUUAGUUAUGAGUCAUAAGGAGCUUAGAACACCAGUUGUCAAAUUGAUAUAUAUAUAUAUUGCAAUUUCGAUAUUGUCCCACUCAUAGUCACGACCAUUGAAGAACAGGGUAAGAUAUUAUGCAAAGAAACAGAACUACAACAGUGUGUGAUCAUAGAACAAGUACUUCCCAAGUGCAGCUUUUUAUAUAUAUAUAUAUAUAUAUAUAUA